GGGUGCCGACGAGUGGCGAACGGGUGAGUAAUGUAUCGGAACGUACCUUUCAGUGGGGGAUAACGUAGCGAAAGUUACGCUAAUACCGCAUAUUCUGUGAGCAGGAAAGCAGGGGAUCGCAAGACCUUGCGCUGAUUGAGCGGCCGAUAUCAGAUUAGCUAGUUGGUGAGGUAAAGGCUCACCAAGGCGACGAUCUGUAGCGGGUCUGAGAGGAUGAUCCGCCACACUGGAACUGAGACACGGUCCAGACUCCUACGGGAGGCAGCAGUGGGGAAUUUUGGACAAUGGGGGCAACCCUGAUCCAGCCAUGCCGCGUGAGUGAAGAAGGCCUUCGGGUUGUAAAGCUCUUUCGGCCGGGAAGAAAUCGUAUGGGUUAAUACCCUGUGCGGAUGACGGUACCGGCAUAAGAAGCACCGGCUAACUACGUGCCAGCAGCCGCGGUAAUACGUAGGGUGCGAGCGUUAAUCGGAAUUACUGGGCGUAAAGCGUGCGCAGGCGGUUUUGUAAGACAGGCGUGAAAUCCCCGGGCUCAACCUGGGAACUGCGCUUGUGACUGCAAGGCUAGAGUACGGCAGAGGGGGGUGGAAUUCCACGUGUAGCAGUGAAAUGCGUAGAGAUGUGGAGGAACACCAAUGGCGAAGGCAGCCCCCUGGGUUAUACUGACGCUCAUGCACGAAAGCGUGGGUAGCAAACAGGAUUAGAUACCCUGGUAGUCCACGCCCUAAACGAUGUCAACUAGGUGUUGGGUGGGUAAAACCAUUUAGUACCGGAGCUAACGCGUGAAGUUGACCGCCUGGGGAGUACGGCCGCAAGGUUAAAACUCAAAGGAAUUGACGGGGACCCGCACAAGCGGUGGAUGAUGUGGAUUAAUUCGAUGCAACGCGAAAAACCUUACCUACCCUUGACAUGUCCAGGAGCCUGAAGAGAUUUGGGUGUGCCCGAAAGGGAACUGGAACACAGGUGCUGCAUGGCUGUCGUCAGCUCGUGUCGUGAGAUGUUGGGUUAAGUCCCGCAACGAGCGCAACCCUUGUCGUUAAUUGCCAUCAUUUAGUUGGGCACUUUGACGAGACUGCCGGUGACAAACCGGAGGAAGGUGGGGAUGACGUCAAGUCCUCAUGGCCCUUAUGGGUAGGGCUUCACACGUCAUACAAUGGUCGGUACAAAGGGUCGCCAACCCGCGAGGGGGAGCCAAUCCCAGAAAGCCGAUCGUAGUCCGGAUCGUAGGCUGCAACUCGCCUGCGUGAAGUCGGAAUCGCUAGUAAUCGUGGAUCAGCAUGUCACGGUGAAUACGUUCCCGGGUCUUGUACACACCGCCCGUCACACCAUGGGAGCGGGUUCCGCCAGAAGUAGGUAGCCUAACCGCAAGGGGGGCGCUUACCACGGCGGGGUUCGUGACUGGGGUGAAGUCGGAACAAGGUA
rnacentral:rRNA from 1 species